AGUGAACGCUGGCGGUAGGCCUAACACAUGCAAGUCGAACGGCAGCACAGUAAGAGCUUGCUCUUACGGGUGGCGAGUGGCGGACGGGUGAGGAAUACAUCGGAAUCUACUUUUUCGUGGGGGAUAACGUAGGGAAACUUACGCUAAUACCGCAUACGACCUACGGGUGAAAGCAGGGGAUCUUCGGACCUUGCGCGAUUGAAUGAGCCGAUGUCGGAUUAGCUAGUUGGCGGGGUAAAGGCCCACCAAGGCGACGAUCCGUAGCUGGUCUGAGAGGAUGAUCAGCCAAACUGGAACUGAGACACGGUCCAGACUCCUACGGGAGGCAGCAGUGGGGAAUAUUGGACAAUGGGCGGAAGCCUGAUCCAGCCAUACCGCGUGGGUGAAGAAGGCCUUCGGGUUGUAAAGCCCUUUUGUUGGGAAAGAAAAGCAGCAGGUUAAUACCACGCUGUUCUGACGGUACCCAAAGAAUAAGCACCGGCUAACUUCGUG
rnacentral:rRNA from 1 species